rnacentral:rRNA from 1 species
UAAAGCGAUUCAGCGGGUUACGAUUGACGGAGCGAAGCGACGUCAAAGCGUAUACAAAGUCGAGUCGGUUUAAGGAUACGUUCGUUGGGUAGGGGAGCGUUCUGUAAGCCCGUGAAGGUGGCCUGUGAGGGUUGCUGGAGGUAUCAGAAGUGCGAAUGCUGACAUAAGUAACGAUAAAGCGGGUGAAAAGCCCGCUCGCCGGAAGACCAAGGGUUCCUGUCCAACGUUAAUCGGGGCAGGGUGAGUCGACCCCUAAGGCGAGGCCGAAAGGCGUAGUCGAUGGGAAACGGGUUAAUAUUCCCGUACUUGGUGUUACUGCGAAGGGGGGACGGAGAAGGCUAUGUUGGCCGGGCGACGGUUGUCCCGGUUUAAGCGUGUAGGUGUGUGUUCCAGGUAAAUCCGGUUCACUUUAACACUGAGGCGUGAUGACGAGGCACUACGGUGCUGAAGCAACAAAUGCCCUGCUUCCAGGAAAAGCCUCUAAGCAUCAGGUAACAUCAAAUCGUACCCCAAACCGACACAGGUGGUCAGGUAGAGAAUACCAAGGCGCUUGAGAGAACUCGGGUGAAGGAACUAGGCAAAAUGGUGCCGUAACUUCGGGAGAAGGCACGCUGACACGUAGGUGAAGUGAUUUACUCACGGAGCUGAAGUCAGUCGAAGAUACCAGCUGGCUGCAACUGUUUAUUAAAAACACAGCACUGUGCAAACACGAAAGUGGACGUAUACGGUGUGACGCCUGCCCGGUGCCGGAAGGUUAAUUGAUGGGGUCAGCGCAAGCGAAGCUCCUGAUCGAAGCCCCGGUAAACGGCGGCCGUAACUAUAACGGUCCUAAGGUAGCGAAAUUCCUUGUCGGGUAAGUUCCGACCUGCACGAAUGGCGUAAUGAUGGCCAGGCUGUCUCCACCCGAGACUCAGUGAAAUUGAACUCGCUGUGAAGAUGCAGUGUACCCGCGGCAAGACGGAAAGACCCCGUGAACCUUUACUAUAGCUUGACACUGAACAUUGAGCCUUGAUGUGUAGGAUAGGUGGGAGGCUUUGAAGUGUGGACGCCAGUCUGCAUGGAGCCGACCUUGAAAUACCACCCUUUAAUGUUUGAUGUUCUAACGUGGACCCGUAAUCCGGGUUGCGGACAGUGUCUGGUGGGUAGUUUGACUGGGGCGGUCUCCUCCUAAAGAGUAACGGAGGAGCACGAAGGUUGGCUAAUCCUGGUCGGACAUCAGGAGGUUAGUGCAAUGGCAUAAGCCAGCUUGACUGCGAGCGUGACGGCGCGAGCAGGUGCGAAAGCAGGUCAUAGUGAUCCGGUGGUUCUGAAUGGAAGGGCCAUCGCUCAACGGAUAAAAGGUACUCCGGGGAUAACAGGCUGAUACCGCCCAAGAGUUCAUAUCGACGGCGGUGUUUGGCACCUCGAUGUCGGCUCAUCACAUCCUGGGGCUGAAGUAGGUCCCAAGGGUAUGGCUGUUCGCCAUUUAAAGUGGUACGCGAGCUGGGUUUAGAACGUCGUGAGACAGUUCGGUCCCUAUCUGCCGUGGGCGCUGGAGAACUGAGGGGGGCUGCUCCUAGUACGAGAGGACCGGAGUGGACGCAUCACUGGUGUUCGGGUUGUCAUGCCAAUGGCACUGCCCGGUAGCUAAAUGCGGAAGAGAUAAGUGCUGAAAGCAUCUAAGCACGAAACUUGCCCCAAGAUGAGUUCUCCCUGAGACUUAGAGUCUCCUGAAGGAACGUUGAAGACGACGACGUUGAUAGGCCGGGUGUGUAAGCGCAGCGAUGCGUUGAGCUAACCGGUACUAAUGAACCGUGAGGCUUAACCUUACAACGCCGAAG